rnacentral:rRNA from 1 species
CCUACGAGAGGCAGCAGUGGGGAAUAUUGCACAAUGGGGGAAACCCUGAUGCAGCGACGCCGCGUGAGUGAAGAAGUAAUUCGUUACGUAAAGCUCUAUCAGCAGGGAAGAAAAUGACGGUACCUGAGUAAGAAGCACCGGCUAACUACGUGCCAGCAGCCGCCGGAAUACGUAGGGGGCAAGCGGUAUCCGGAUUUACUGGGGGUAAAGGGAGCGUAGACGGUGCGGCAAGUCUGGAGUGAAAUGCCGGACAUUAACUGCGGAACGGCUUUGGAAACUGGCGAACUAGAGUGCGGGAGGGGUAAGCGGAAGUCCUGGUGGAGCGGUGAAAUGCGUAGAUAUUAGGAGGAAAACCGGUGGCGAAGGCGGCUUACUGGACCGUAACUGACGUUGAGGCUCGAAAGCGUGGGGAGCAAACAGGAUUAGAUACCCUAGUAGUC